CACGUAGGGUGCAAGCGUUGUCCGGAAUUAUUGGGCGUAAAGAGCUCGUAGGCGGUCUGUUGCGUCCGCUGUGAAAACCCGGGGCUUAACCCUGGGCUGGCAGUGGAUACGGACAGACUAGAGGUAGGUAGGGGAGAAUGGAAUUCCCGGUGUAGCGGUGAAAUGCGCAGAUAUCGGGAGGAACACCGGUGGCGAAGGCGGUUCUCUGGGCCGUACCUGACGCUGAGGAGCGAAAGCGUGGGGAGCGAACAGG
rnacentral:rRNA from 1 species